GACGAACGCUGGCGGCGUGCUUAACACAUGCAAGUCGAACGGAAAGGCCGUGCUUUUGUGGGGUGCUGGAGUGGCGAACGGGGGCGUAACACGUGAGUAACCUGCCCUUGACUUUGGGAUAACUUCAGGAAACUGGGGCUACUACCGGAUAGGAGCUCCUGCUGCAUGGUGGGGGUUGGAAAGUUUCGGCGGUUGGGGUUGGACGCGCGGCUGAGUAGCUUGUUGGUGGGGUAGUGGCCUACCGAGGCGUUUACGGGUAUAUGGCCUGAGAGGGUGAACGGCCACACUGGAACUGAGACACGGUCCAGAAUACUAAGGGAGGAAGCAGUGGGGAAUAUUGGACAAUGGGCGCAAGCCUGAUCCAGCCAUCCCGCGUGAGUGAAGAAGGCAUUGGGGUUGUAGAGCCCUUUUGUUGGGAAAGAAAAGCAGCAGGUUAAUACCCCGCUGUUCUGACGGUACCCAAAGAAUAAGCACCGGCUAACUUCGUG
rnacentral:rRNA from 1 species